AUUGAACGCUGGCGGCAUGCUUUACACAUGCAAGUCGAACGGCAGCACGGGGGCAACCCUGGUGGCGAGUGGCGAACGGGUGAGUAACACAUCGGAACGUGUCCAGUUGUGGGGGAUAACCCAUCGAAAGGUGGGCUAAUACCGCAUGAGCUGGCAACAGGAAAGCGGGGGACCCGCAAGGGCCUUGUGCGAUUGGAGCGGCCGAUGUCCGAUUAGCUAGUUGGUGGGGAAAGCCUACCAAGGCUUCGAUCGGUAGCUGGUCUGAGAGGAUGAUCAGCACACUGGGACUGAGACACGGCCCAGACUCCUACGGGAGGCAGCAGUGGGAAUUUGGACAAUGGGGGCAACCCUGAUCCAGCCAUGCCGCGUGAGUGAAGAAGGCCUGGUU
rnacentral:rRNA from 1 species